UCCAACCUUCUAUGUAUCGAUUUGACAUGUCGUCUUGACGUCCUAGCGUAGCCACAUCUCAUCUCUGACAGAAACAAAGCAAAACCAAAGUUAUACCCGAAGACGAAGCUGUAACUCUAUUGUUUCAAACUAGUGUGUAGAUAGUAGAUACUAAUUUGUGUGGGCGCGCGACUAAGUAGUCAUGUUUCCAGUGGCUGAAGAGCUCGCUGUAAUUGUCCUGUGUAUAGACUGUUUAGAAGCACAUCGUUCAGCACAAGCUCGAUUUCAAUUCGAUUUCUCAGUUGCCUACGCUAUCGUGCCAUAAUUGGUGAAUUUCGUGUUUCUACUUCCUUAUUGUGCAAAUAUGUAGUAUGAAUGCUGCGGCACAUUAAAGCUCUACGCAAGAGACUACCUUUUCUUCUCGACUACUUGUGGUAUGGAGCCUGAAAGUGUGAUACCGAUGUAUAAAAAUGUAACCCCUAAAACCGCAUAAGCGGCCUAUAUGCUUCUAAAUAUUGUGAUGUGAAGACUGUGACAAUCUACAUGAGAUUAAAAACUUAGGUAAUUAACAUACUGUUUUGAAUUUCGUGUGGGAAGAAUCAUUUGUUCUAAAGGCGAAAGGAAGUUUUCACUGUCUUUCACCAGAAAGCAGAAAAAUCAGGACGAGUAAUUGUUGGAGUUAGAAAUUGAAAUGUACUGUACAUUUCAAAUUCUGUGAGGUGGAAUGAGUGACGGCAUGGUUACGAUAUUGUAUAUAGUUGAAACAGGGGUGUCUCCCAUCUUGAUGGUAUCGUUGGUCAAAGCAGCAAUCACUGCCUGCGCAUAGCUCAUGCCACAUGCUGUGCUGCUGCAGCAACCGGCCCAGCGUAGUCCGUGCUAACUCCACCACAUCUCACCUUCGCCACGCCAUCCACUGGGUAUCCGUGCUGACUCCAUUGUGGUGGUUGACAUGCACCAUGUUGACCUUGCCAACAUUGCUGCAACGCUCCACCCAGUGCUGGAAAGGCAAAUAUGUAUCCUGAAGACCAGGGCAGGGCCGACCACGUGCGACUUCAGAAGAGCGGACUGUUAUUUGGCUUUAAGGGCACAGCAGUAUCAUCGUAGUACUGCACAGCGACUGGCAUGUGAGCUCGCACCAUCCACUGGACGUGUUGCAGCAAGGAAAACAUUGUGCGGAAGGCUUCGCCAGAGUAGCCUUUGUCAGAGACCAACUGUACGUCUACCUCUUACGCAUCUUCACAGAAGGGAACGUCUAGAGUGGCAUCAUCAACAUGCCAUGUGGACGGUAGAACAAGGGACCGAUGUUGUACACAGAUAAGUCCCACUUUAGUCUGGUGAGUGAUUCACAAUGGAGUCACAUCUGAAGGGAACAUGGAACACUAUUUCGGGACCCAAACAUUGUGGAAAGAGACCAAUAUCGAGGAUCCAUAAUGGUGUGGGCAGGGACUGUUGACCACUCAAAUCCGUGUGCAGGGGAAUCGGAAAGGUUUAACUUGACUCCUGUCAGGUAUCAUGACGAGAUCUUGGGACCUUACCUGUGGUUGUUGUGAGGUGCUGUGAGCCUAGACUUUGUAUUGUUGGGCAGUAAUGCUUGACCUCAUAGAGCACAGGCAGUUGAUAUUUUGUUGGGAAUGAAAGGUAUUGUGCACAUGGUGUGACCUGCUUGCUCUCCCAAUUUGAAUUCGCGUCUGCUGAUACCUUGCCUUAAUAAACAAAUUGAAGAGUGGUAGAUGCAAUUAUGAAGAAAGACUUGGGAUUUUAUGUCUAAUAAAUACUAAUUGUAUGUGUAUAAAUUUGUUGUAAUGGUACACAAUAAAUUUUUAACUACUAAGA